rnacentral:tRNA from 1 species
CAAAAUGUAGCUUAACAAAGCCUCCCGCUUACACCGAAAAGAUAUCUGUGAGACCCAGAUCAUUUUGA